rnacentral:lncRNA from 1 species
CAAAAUCUGAAUUCCUAAACACAACUAGCCCCAGGAGUUUCAGAUAAGGGAUUCCAGACCAGUCUUUCCAGUUAAGCCUUUGUUUGGUGCCUAGAGGUUGUAAUCCCAUCCCCACCAGUUCGCCUGGGGCAAUGCACCCUACUGAGAUGGGGGUUGUUCUCUUUAUUUUGCAAAGUGGGGAGAGGGAUGAUUAGGUCCUGAACCCAAGGCAGGUUUGGGGCAGUUUUAGGAAUAGCGUGGAGGGAGUUGGAAGCUCUGGGAAUAGAUUCCUUUAGGACAGUCCAUGCCGCAGGUCCCACUUCGAGGUCUACUGCUCCAGGGGUGGCCUUGGAAUGAGCACUGGGGUUGAAGAAGUGGAUGCAAUGUGUGUUGCAAGUCUUCUUGGAAUCAGCUACAGGACCUGUGCCGCCUGGCCAAGCUCUCCUGCCCUGCCCUCGGCAUCUCCAAGAGGAAUCUCUAUGACUUUGAAGUGGAGUACCUGUGUGAUUACAAGAAAAUCCGCGAACAAGAGUAUUACCUGGUAAAAUGGCGUGGAUACCCAGACUCAGAGAGCACCUGGGAGCCACGGCAGAAUCUCAAGUGCGUGCGCAUUCUCAAGCAGUUCCAAAAGGACUUAGAAAGGGAGCUGC